UGGGGAAUAUUGCACAAUGGGGGGAACCCUGAUGCAGCAACGCCGCGUGGGUGAAGAAGUAUUUCGGUAUGUAAAGCCCUGUCAGCAGGGAAGAAAAGAAAUCGUAACGGAUUUCAGACAGUACCUGACCAAGAAGCCCCGGCUAACUACGUGCCAGCAGCCGCGGUAAUACGUAGGGGGCAAGCGUUAUCCGGAUUUACUGGGUGUAAAGGGAGCGUAGACGGCGCAGCAAGUCUGAAGUGAAAGCCCGCGGCCUAACUGCGGGACUGCUUUGGAAACUGUUGAGCUGGAGUACAGGAGAGGUAAGCGGAAUUUCUAGUGUAGCGGUAAAAUGCGUAGAUAUUAGAAGGAACACCAGUGGCGAAGGCGACUUGCUGGGCCGUUACUGACGCUGAGACAC
rnacentral:rRNA from 1 species